CCCGAGGUACCACUGUACUGGAGAUUUUAAUGAGUGUUCCACUAAUGGUAUUAACCCAAGAUGGAACCCAGCGCUUACUGGUUUUACGUUUUUGAGAUGAGUCAGAAAGGUAAAGGACAAUAUUUACUCUGUGCCCCUAAUUUACUUUUUCUUUAGCUUCUAUACCAGGGGAAGGAGGCCUGUGGCCCUCCAGAUGUUUUUGGGCUCAAACUACCAUCGUUCCUGAUGCAUUGGCCACGCUGUCUGAGGCUGAUCAUGGACAUCUAUUCAUUCUCAUUUAUUUUUUAACCUCCUGCCCUCUUUUAUUAUUGUUCCUGUGUAUUUUAUUGAAACACGCAGGACCAUUGUAAGAAGUUUC